UACGAGGGGUCCUAGCGUUGUCCGGAAUUAUUGGGCGUAAAGCGCGCGCAGGCGGCCUCUUAAGUCUGAUGUGAAAGCCCCCGGCUCAACCGGGGAGGGCCAUUGGAAACUGGGAGGCUUGAGUACAGAAGAGGAGAGUGGAAUUCCACGUGUAGCGGUGAAAUGCGUAGAUAUGUGGAGGAACACCAGUGGCGAAGGCGACUCUCUGGUCUGUAACUGACACUGAGGCACGAAAGCGUGGGGAGCAAAAAGG
rnacentral:misc_RNA from 1 species